rnacentral:rRNA from 1 species
GACGAACCGAGCGAACGUUGUUCGGAAUCACUGGGCUUAAAGGGCGCGUAGGCGGGUGCUCAAGUCCGUGGUGAAAUCCUCCGGCUCAACCGGAGAACUGCCUCGGAUACUGGGUGCCUCGAGGGAGGUAGGGGUAUGCGGAACUAUCGGUGGAGCGGUGAAAUGCGUUGAUAUCGAUAGGAACUCCGGUGGCGAAGGCGGCAUACUGGACCACCUCUGACGCUGAGGCGCGAAAGCCAGGGGAGCAAACGGG